CCCAUCUCGAAACGGAAAGGACCCCGCUUUAUAAAACUUCGAAAGCAGGGCGUUCUGCCUUUCUUCUCUUCCCGAAAACGAACGAGUGACUGCAUACCACGGCCACCCAGAUUUCCACAUUUGUCACGGACGCAGUGUACUCUCAAGAGAGCGACAAUGAUCGUAAUGAUUCACGCAGAUUUCAUGACGGCUAUGCUUUUCUAUUCAAGAAUGCCGCUUCGGAGAUGGGUGACCAAAUCUUUGGCCGCUGGAUGUAAUACUCAACCAUAAUGCUAGAACUCCUGUAUGCAGCUGGGUGUUAAUGGUGUCGUGGCCUGCAGUAAAUGUUGCCAAGUCACGUGAUCAAAACUCAGCAUUAUGGGUACAUUGGGCAGCAGGGCAACAAAAAUGUUCCUUUACUAUUGAGUAUAUGCUCUCAUCGGCCUUCAAAAAUGAACAUUCAAAUUACUCAAGUGUUGUGGGACACAUCUCAGUCUGAUAAAAGAUCUUAAAAGUUAGCAGUUUAUGCACGAAAUAUAAAAUCCCUGAAUGCACGCACUAUAACAUUGAAAUUUCAUACAAUAAAUGCAAACAUCUGCAACUGUAUUUACUUUAAGGCUUAAGAAAUGGUCACUUGGCAAGAACAAAGUUUUGCAUAUCACCCCACCAAACUCGGUUUUCUUUUUUCAAUUACGGUAAUCGCCUUUGGUUGACAAAUGGACCUAUUUGAACCUCACGAAGUUCAACUAAAUAUUUUGUCGGGUUACUCACAAAAGCAAUAGUCGAGGUGGCUGCAGUUUAUCCUAAGACUUUUUAAACUAAACACCUCACAAUUUACUUGAUUAAUGCCAACGGAGUCUAUUUAAAAAGGUUGCGUACCCUUGCCCUUAUGCCCUCGUGUACCCACAUUGCUUUGCAUUUGAUUGCACAGAUUGGCGAAUUCAUACUGGGUGCAGUCAUGUUUAUGGUGUCCAAGUGGCUGCAAUGUGGCAGGUGCCUCUGCGAGCCGAUUGUGAGGUGUUCAACUUGAUGGCUUUCAUGCACACUCCAGUUGAUUUGAAAAGGUGCUGAAGCAAAUUUUGGAAGGUUUUGUUGAAGCUGCCAUCUUGUCUACUGUUGAAUGGAUCUUGUAAUCAAAUAAAAUGGAUGAAUCUGA